UACGUAGGGUGCAAGCGUUGUCCGGAAUUAUUGGGCGUAAAGAGCUCGUAGGCGGUCUGUCGCGUCUGCUGUGAAAACCCGGGGCUCAACCCCGGGCUUGCAGUGGAUACGGGCAGACUAGAGUUCGGUAGGGGAGACUGGAAUUCCUGGUGUAGCGGUGAAAUGCGCAGAUAUCAGGAGGAACACCGGUGGCGAAGGCGGGUCUCUGGGCCGAUACUGACGCUGAGGCGCGAAAGCGUGGGGAGCAAACAGG
rnacentral:rRNA from 1 species